GCUUGAUAUUUUGGUCCCUUGGGGCCUUCCUGCUCUUCUCUCAAAAUCUGCAGACACAAGACUGCCUGCUCUGCCUUGAGAGUUGCUACUGCCAGUGGUGCUGUCUUUGCCCUCCUGAAACCUCUGGGGAUAGAGUUGCUGUGCUGGCUCUCUGCGCUCGGAAAACUCAUGGGGUGGAUUCCCAUUAAAACUCAUUAAUGGACUCCCAUUAAAACUUCUGCUGCUAGCGUGGGCUUCCUUAUCAGAAAAUGUGAAACUGGGCAAAGGCAUGCCAUAUAAUCUCCUAGGAGGUAGCCAGUGACUACAACCUGUUUUCUAAAGCAAUGCCUCCUGGACCGGUUGUGAUCAUCUCUCAGGGUGGCAUCUUAUUUGUGCAUGCCUGAGCCUUGGUGUCUGCCAGACACACUAAAUGUGGUUAACUGCAAAGAAACUCACUGUUCUCUCACAUUUACCGUUUAUCACAAGGCCAGCAAGGUGAACUAUCUACAGGAGCUGCACGGGGACAAGUUUAGUGCCCAACAUCUUCAGGUGGGCAGGAGCAUCCACCCAUCCAUUCACACAUUCAGGGUGUGUAGUAAUGUAGCGCUCAAGGACAGUGGCCCAGGAAUAUGGAAAUUUUUUUUUCUUUUUUUUUUUUUUUAA
rnacentral:lncRNA from 1 species